CAAGGACCUAACAGAGGCAGAAUAGAUUAAGAAGAAGUGGCAAGAUUAUACAGAAGAACUACCCAAGAAAGAGCUUAACAUACCUGAUAACCACGAUGGGGUGGACGCUGACGUCGAGCCAGACAUCCUCGAGUGUGAAGUCAAAUAAACCUUAGAAAGUCUUAGCAACAACAAAACUAGUGGAGGAGACGGUAUUCCAGCUGAGCUAUU